rnacentral:rRNA from 1 species
GAUGAACGCUGGCGGCGUGCCUAACACAUGCAAGUCGAACGAAGCGUCUUAAAGGAAGUUUUCGGAUGGAAUUUGGGAUGACUGAGUGGCGGACGGGUGAGUAACGCGUGGAUAACCUGCCUCAUACAGGGGGAUAACAGCUAGAAAUGGCUGCUAAUACCGCAUAAGCGCACAGUGCCGCAUGGCAGUGUGUGAAAAACUCCGGUGGUAUGAGAUGGACCCGCGUCUGAUUAGCUAGUUGGUGGGGUAACGGCCUACCAAGGCGACGAUCAGUAGCCGGCCUGAGAGGGUGAACGGCCACAUUGGGACUGAGACACGGCCCAA